rnacentral:tRNA from 1 species
GCCCAGGUGGUGAAAUUGGUAGACACGCACGCUUGAGGGGCGUGUGCCGCAAGGUGUGCUGGUUCAAGUCCAGUCCUGGGCACCA